GUUCACACCAGGUUACUCCGAGUCUUUUGUUUGUUUGUUUGCUUCCCCGGUCAGACGCACUGCUUUGAGGCUUUAGGUGUAACCGAGGGAGCCCCAGGAGGCUCCGUCGAUGGAGAAGGCGAGCUGGGGGAGGCGAAAGGAAGCCCAGGUGCGAGGGAGGGAGGGGGCAGCCCGCUAAGAUCCCUUUUCCUUCCUGGGGAAACACCUCGGCGUCCCGCUCCUCCCCCCCCCCCCGCGAAUCGAGUCCAGGGAGAGAAAGGCUUGUGCCCUCGCAUUCUUUCGCUGCAGCGCGCGCACCCCGACACACACACACACACACACACGUUGGGCAGGAUUUGUCAGCAAAGUUUGCCCUCAGCGUGGCUGCCUCGUCUGUGGAGCUGCCGGGGAGAGCCCAGGAGGGAAGCGAGAGAGCGAGCGAAGGGCGGGCUGCGCUCCAGCGAGGCUUUCCCUUCCCCUCACAGACUGCAGUGCGAGCUGGGAAGGGAAUUGCCAAGCGAGAGAGAGAGAGAGAGAGAGAGAGCGAGCCUUGGUGCGCGGCCGCCGCUGGCCGCGGCGUCUCUCGUCUCGGGCCUUCUUCUCUCGGGCCACCUCAGGCAGCCGCGAGAGGCGGAUUACUCUGGCUGGUGUGUGGCUGCGCAAGGAGGUGUGCCGUGUGACUUCCCGCGCUGGGGUCAGCCCAGCUGCCUCCUCCGCCGCGGCAGGAGCGAAAAUGAAUUUGAAGGAAAAUUGGUGAAUCCAACCCAGUGGAUUUGGUAGACUUGGAGAACAGAGUCUGGACCAAAAAACAAUUAUCCUGCUAAACGAUUUCAGUGCUUCAGAGAAUGCUCAACACUGGUCCAAGCUGCUUCAUUUCAUACAUGGUAAGCUUAAGAGGCCUUUACUAUUCUCCUUCUAGUAGAUACUUGUCUUCAGUGUCUUUUAAACAUCUGGAGCACUUAAUUGCUUCAGAGGGGCCUGCUUUCACUUGUGCUGCUUUGUACGGGUCCCACUUUGCCUCUGAAAAGCCCCAGGUCCCGCCAUAGCAUCCUGCUUCAGCUCAGGAUUCAGAAUUUGCCUGAAUCCAACAAAGCCCCUUACAGACUUUGCUAUGCAUUUAGAGCUUGCUAUGUUCGCGUGGGUCGUGGAACUUGGUGUAUAUGAAAGCUCCUAUGACAGCUUGGAGUUCUCAUUCAUAAGCAAUAAAUUUUCUUAGUUUUGUAUAGCAAAGGGAACUAAUACUACCCACUGUUCCUUUAGAAACGAUUCAGGUUCUGUAAUCUUUCAUUGGUAUAUGUGGUCUUAGGUUGGGUUUUUUGCUUUUUUAAUGACAAUGCUCUGCAGUGGCGAACGAACUGAGAGUUAUAGGGUUCUUUUUAUAUUCUACCAACAAAUAAUGAAUCUGUUGAGAACUCUUGCUGCUCCAGUUAGAAUAUGACAUAAACAUGGAUGGAU
rnacentral:lncRNA from 1 species